AAGAGAUAGUAUUUUUACGUUCAGUCUACUUCUUAAAAGGAUAGAAGAUGUUUAGCCGCACGGGAUUGAGCGAUAACAGUUCUAGAUGCCCUUAUAUAUGGACGGGGCUGAACGCGCGCAACAUUCGAAGAAUCAGCUAUUAAUUACCAAAAAUUAUUAAAUACCAAAAAGCAUUGGUAAACUGCGUGAAAUGAUAUAACGGGACCGCCGUUCUAUUAACUGGUUCAGGAAUUGGAGUAAUGAUUAAAAGAGACAAUUCGGGGGCAUCCGUAUCCCUGCGCGAGAGGUGAAACUCGUGGACUGAGGGGGACGCUCCGGAGCGAGAGCAUUUGCCAAAAGUGGCUUCAUUAAUCAAGAACGAAAAUCAGAGGUCCGAAAGCGACUAGAUACCGCCCUAGUUCUGACCGUAAACUAUGCCAUCUAUCGAUCCAAUAGAAUAUUGUCACAACUUAUUUAUUUAGUAUUGUAAAUAAUAUUUUUUACC
rnacentral:ncRNA from 1 species